rnacentral:rRNA from 1 species
GUGUCAGCAGCCGCGGUAACACGGGGGGAGCAAGCGUUGUUCGGAUUCAUUGGGCGUAAAGGGCUCGUAGGCCGCUCUGUAAGUCGGAAGUGAAAGACCACGGCUCAACCGUGGAACCGCUUUCGAAACUGCGGAGCUUGAGGCCGGGAGAGGAGAUUGGAAUUCCUGGUGUAGCGGUGAAAUGCGUAGAUAUCAGGAGGAACACCCGUGGCGAAGGCGAAUCUCUGGACCGGUUCUGACGCUGAUGAGCGAAAGCUAGGGGAGCAAACAGGAUUAGAAACCCCAGUAGUCC